UGGGGGGGAACCUGGUGGGGGGCCUCGUGGUGGUGGGGAACGUGGUGGUGGUGGUCAACGGCAUGGGCAUGGUGAACCUUGUGGUGAUGGUGAACGUCAUGGUCAUGGUCAUGAUGAACCUCAUGGUGAUGGUGAACGUCAUGGUGGACCUCAUGGUCAUGGGGAACCUCAUGGUCAUGGUGAACCUUGUGGUGAACCUCAUGGUGAUGGUCAUGGUGAACGUCAUGGUCAUGGUCAUGGUGGACCUCGUGGUCAUGGUGAACCUCAUGGUGAACCUCAUGGUCAUGGGGAACCUCAUGGUGAAUGUCAUGGUCAUGGUCAUGGUGAACAUCAUGGUGGUGGUGAACGUCAUGGUCAUGGUGGACCUCAUGGUGAACCUCAUGGUCAUGGUGAUGGGGAACCUCAUGGUGGACCUCAUGGUCAUGGGGAACCUCAUGGUCAUGGGGAACCUCAUGGUCAUGGUCAUGGUGAAACUCAUGCUCAUGGGGAAGCUCAUGGUGAACCUCAUGGUCAUGGUGAACCUUGUGGUGAACCUCAUGGUGAUGGUGAAUGUCAUGGUCAUGGUCAUGGUGGACCUCAUGGUGGACCUCAUGGUGAUGGAGAACCUCAUGGCAGUGGUGGACCUCGUGGUGAACCUCAUGGUCAUGGGGAACCUCAUGGUGAACCUCAUGGUAAUGGAGAACCUCAUGGUCAUGGUGAACCUCAUGGUGAACCUCUUGGUGAUGGCGACGUUGGACGCCAUGGUGGACGUCACGGUGACGCCGCCCUUCGUGGUGGCACCCGGCCUCCUGGCAACGCUCAAACUCACGGCAACACCAAAAUUGGAGGUGACACCAAAAUUCGAGGUGACACCAAACCCUGUGGUGACCCCAAAAUUCAAGGUGAUGCCAAAAUUCAAGGCGACGCCAAACCCUGUGGUGACACCAAACCCCGUGGUGACCCCAAACCCCGUGGUGACCCCAAAACUGGAGGCGACCCCAAAAUUCAAGGCGACGCCGACCCCGAGCGGCCUCACCGCU
rnacentral:lncRNA from 1 species